CGCGCGGCCACUAGUGUUGUGACAGCGAUCGUGCCCACGACUUCGAUACUUUACUUCGCGACUUUAUUUUUCUGUCGUUCACCAUAUAGCUCUCAAAGCAUCGGAUACAGUACGCAUGAAAUCCUUAUAUGACCUGGUAAAAUAUAAAUUAUAGUUCAUGUUUCUGCAUCACAUAUAUGAACGAGUAGUAUUAUCACAACUGGGUUCAUUAAUAAUCGGUGAUAUUCUUGAUAAGUGACCUGUCAAAACUAUAAACCAGUGAAUUGCAUUUUAUUCUUUUUUCACCGACCAAACAGUGGAAUAAUUCAACAAUUUAAAACGUUUAUCAAAAAGAAACGUAGAAGCAAAAAAAAACAACCGGUUAACAUUAUAAUGGGUAGAUUUCAACGACGAUAUCGGCUAUUGCAGCGGUCAAGACAUCAAAAUAAUUGAUUAAUGAAUAUUUGAAAAAAUACAAUGCACCGGUGGAUUAUUCUGCAAGUUUCGUUGCUUAUUUUCGUUCAUGUCAGUGCUGUUACUGAUGAUUCGUCUAAACCGCUGUGGAUUAAAGGCAUCUACAGCGGUAAAAAACAUGUGACAGAUGGCCACGAGAUCGUAGUACCACGCAAAGUAACACAUAAUGGCGAUUUAAUCAGUCAUGACGUAACACACCACCAUGUUGACGAUAAAACUGAAUUGCACUAUCGUUUGGAGAUGGCUGGAUCACAAUAUCACUUUCAGCUGACACCAUCCGAAGAUUUUAUCGCACCAGGAAUGGUUGUGGAAAGACGAAAGCGCAGAAUUCACGUACGCCAUCAACCCAGAGAACACGCGAGUAAAUGUCAUUAUCGGGGAUUCAUUAGAGGUCACCGAAAUUCCUUUGUAGCAUUAUCGACUUGCAAUGGUCUGACGGGUGUACUUCGAGGAGAACAUGGCGAGUUCUGGCUGGAACCAGUCAAGAACGAGCCAGGAGAAGGAAAUGGUGCACGUACUGGGAAAGAAGUUGACUCUGAACGGUAUGCGUAUGCAACGAAUGCGAGUGUGGCGUCUGGUAGACCUCACCUUGUUUUCCGACGUUCGACUGCUGUGGAGGUUGGCGCCGGACAGCGAAGACGUCGAAAGAAGAAGAAAUACGAGCGAAACUGUGGAACACGUGACCCUCGGAGGUUGACUGAGACGCGUUUGGAAUGGCAGACUCAGCCUGGUCUUGUGCAAGUUCAAGGUCGUGGACGUAGGAAGCAUGGAUGGCAGAGGUCAAAGAGAUCCAUUAGUCGUCCUAGACACGUCGAGGCACUUGUAGUUGCUGAUACCUCUAUGAUGGCUUUCCAUCAGGAUGGUGAUGUCGAGACAUAUCUACUUACGAUUAUGAAUAUGGUGUCUGCACUUUACCAUGACCCAACUAUCGGAAACUUCAUUAAUGUCGUCGUUGUCCGCAUCAUUCUUAUGGAGGAGGAUGACGCUGAGCAAGGACUCAAUAUCACUGUGAAUGCCGACAAGACACUUUACAACUUUUGCAAGUGGCAAUUAAAGUUGAAUCCUACUGAUGAUUCUCAUCCCAAUCAUCAUGACGUUGCAAUAUUGGUGACACGUGAAGACAUAUGUUCAAGAGCAAAUACCCCUUGCAGUACUCUAGGAGUGGCUCAUGUGGCUGGUAUGUGCCAGCCUGAUAAAAGCUGCAGCGUCAACGAGGACAAUGGCAUCACCUUGGCACAUACUAUAACUCAUGAGCUUGGCCACAACUUUGGCAUGUAUCACGACACGGAAAAAAUAGGUUGCAGCAAACGAGAUGGUGAUACAUUACACGUAAUGACGCCGACUUUUGAGGUGGAUACAGUGGGUGUGGCUUGGUCUCGAUGUUCACGCAGAGACAUUACAAAUUUCCUUGACCAAGGAAAGGGAGAAUGUUUGGAAGACGAACCAGCAGAUAAUGAUUACGCGUAUCCGGAUCUACCUCCUGGAGCGAUGUACAAUGCUGAGCACCAAUGUCGACUACAAUUCGGGAUAAGAGAAGCUUCUGUUUGUUCACCGUUGCAAGAAAUUUGCUCUAAACUCUGGUGUAUUGUUGAUGGAUCAUGUAUUACUAUGCUACAUCCGGCAGCCCCAGGAACACAUUGCGGUAAACAUAUGUGGUGUCAAAAUCAGAAAUGUGUACCAAUAGUCGAUCGUCCGAGCCAGAUUGACGGUGGAUGGGGUAAGUGGGGUAAUUGGACAGAAUGUUCGAGAACUUGUGGUGCGGGAGUGUCGAUAAUGGAACGGAAGUGUGACCAUCCAAGGCCAGCACACGGCGGAAAGUUUUGCAUCGGUGAGAGACGACGAUACAAGAUUUGCAACACUGAUCCAUGUCCUGAAGGUGUACCAAGUUUCCGGAGUAUCCAAUGUAGUAAAUAUGAUAAUACAGAAUACAAGGGAAAAAAUUAUACCUGGUUACCAUAUUUUGACCAAAAUGAACCUUGCAAAUUGUACUGCACUGACACUAACGAGAGUGUCAUAGUUCCCUGGGGUGAAGCAGCUUUGGAUGGUACACCUUGCAACGUUGGUACGCGUGAUAUGUGUAUCGCUGGAAUAUGUAGAAAAGUUGGCUGUGACUGGACUGUUGAUUCUGAAGCUACGGAGGAUCGUUGCGGUAUUUGCCAUGGUGAUGGAACACAAUGUGAGACAACGAGCGGAAUUUAUGACAAAAAUGAAGGACCUGGUUAUCGUGAAGUCGUCGUCAUUCCUGCGGGUGCAAGAAAUAUCAAAAUCGAGGAGCUUGGCAACAGCAAAAAUUACAUUGGCAUUGGGCUAAGGAAUUCCAACAAAUACUUCCUUAAUGGAAAACGGUGCGUGCGGUGUUUUGGAAGACACCUUGGGAUUAGUAUAAUGGAUCACACAUUGGAGACUAAUGUUUCCGUUUCGUUGGACAGGCAGAUCACUUUAGCGGGAGAGUAUGAAGUCGCGGGAACGCCUGCAUUGUACGAACGUGAUCAUGAAAAAGAAAAGGUCAGGAUUCCGGGGCCUAUAAAGGAGGAUAUUGUUGUUUAUUUGAUCUAUCGAGGACAUUAUCGCAACUUAGGACUUCAUUAUGAGUACACGAUACCUAAAAGUGAACCAGACCGUGCUCCAGAAUACUUUUGGAUUCUUUCUGAUUGGUCAAUAUGUACAGCAACUUGUGGAGGAGGUACACAAACAUCGUAUGCUGUUUGUCAUGAAAGAAAAAAUGGUAUUGUAGAAGAGAGAUUUUGUGAUGAAAAAACGAAGCCUGAAUUUGUAUUACGUGAAUGCAACAAGAAUCCUUGCCCAGCUAGGUGGUGGGUUGGACCAUGGCAAAUGUGUCCAGUUAUUUGUGGUGAGGGUGUGCGAAAGCGAUCAGUGAUGUGUGUAUCAUCAGCAAAAGAUCCAGAUGGAUCAGAACUUGCUUUACCUGAUCGAGAAUGUGAUAAGAAUGCAAAGCCAGCUGAGGUUGGACCUUGUAUAGACCUCCCACCAUGUGGACCAACUUCCGAAAUUCCUUUAAUUAUAUACACUGAUAACAAGGUCGCCGCUUUCUAUAAUAUCAGUACUAAUGAUCAAUCCAAUCUGAUCACUGUGGAUGGCAACUCUACUGAAGAACCAGAGAUUCUGGAAUUUGAUAAUGUGGUUGAUGAAAAUCCUAAUAAUUCUGUGUAUAAUACCAAGUCAAAGUGGCUUGUAUCAAAAUGGAGCCACUGUAUACAUGGAAAAAGAAUAAGGAAGGUUUCAUGUUCAUCUGCUGGUGAUUGUAAUUUAAAAAACAAGCCCGCUUCGUCAGAAGAAUGUCGAGGAGAGAAGUGGGUCACUGGUAAAUGGGGACCUUGCAAUGCAACUUGUGCUUCAAAGUCGGGUGUGAAAAAAAGAGAAGUGAUUUGUAAAGACAGAUUGACGAAUAAAGAGUCUGGAAACUGCAUUCUUCACCGACGACCUCUUGAUACCAGACGGUGUUUUUAUCGUCGUCAGUGUACGGAGGAAAAACCCGGUUGCAAAGAUAUUAUCAAGCCCGUGAGUUUAUGUAUAUCUUACAAACGUAUGUGUGACUUAUCAUCAAUUGUGCGAGAAAAAUGCUGCGCCACAUGCUUUAAAAGGCGGCGUCAUGUUCGACACAAUCGGCGACAUAAUUUUGGCGACUAACAAUAGAGCAUUGACGUCAAAUUGAUAUUAUCGAAACAUGGAAAUGUUGAAUGUGAUGGAUAAAAGAUAUGCCCUAAGGGUGCUGAAUAUCACCAACAAAAUGCGUUGAAUAAUAUUGUAAACAUUCAAUAGUCAACACUUUAGUAUAUGAAUUGGCUCAAUAUUCUGAUAAUAUCUGUCCAUUAAUUUCGAGUAUCUUGUUUGGAAAAUACACAAAUCAACGAGCAGUUAAUUUUGCCAUGCUUAAAACAAUGUUCGAAAGUUCUAAUAGUUCAUCUACCUAGAAAAUAUCGAUUAUCCAAUUAUUCAAUCAAAUUUACAUAAGAAAUAACACAUAUUAGCUCAAACUAUUACUUAUUUGAUCAUUUGUAUUGAAAAAAAUUUUUAAUAAUUAUAUUCCUUUUCUAAAAAAUGUAUCGAUAUCUAAUAUCUGCUAGACAACAGUAUUCAUUCAGAAUCUAAUCUUUGUAUAAUUAAUGUCAAAUUAAAUAUAACUUUAAAAUAUGUAAGAUACACAAUAUUGUAACAAAUUACUGACAACAAUGUAUUUUGCAUACGGAAUGACCUUCGACUCGAUAAAAACUCUUAACGUACAAAUAAUGCAUCAAAAGCGAAUAAGUAAGUAAUGACUAUCAUAUCGAACUAAUGCUUUCAUAUUAAGCAAUUUCUAACAUGGCUAUUCUAUUUAGAAUUUUUAUUGAGCCAUCAUGGCUUGUUCAUUAAUGAUGUAAUCUAAUUUUGGCACCUGUGCCAAACUCAAUUUCUUCUGAGCUGAUCAGUAAAAUCAAGGGUCAUUCGAUAAUGUUAAAACGAAGAAAAUUUACAGUAACGUAUUAUUACGUCAUCAACUACGUCUGCAGUAAACACUUGCCAACUAUGUUGAAAACCAUUUUCUCAAUUUAUAAAUGCGUAAAUAGCUCGAUAAAAAUUUUCUAGCUGUUGUCUACUGCGACUCAAAAUUAACUUAGCUAAUAAAUAGUUAUAGUCAUUAUUUAACCAACAUCACAGCCAUAAUUGUUAAAAUAAUAUACAUGAUAUUUUUUAUACAUUAUUUUUUCUACUCAAUUUACUAUUAAAACAAUUUAAUGAAAGAUAUGGCGUAAGAAAAUAACAGUGAUAAAAUUGUGAUUUCAUUCUCAUCCAAAUUUACUGUAUCGUUACAGUAGCAGGCAUAGCGAUUGAGAUAAUCCAAAUGCAUCGUCUCGCUUGUUCUGCCAGUCAGUUACAUUUAAACUUCAGAGCAUAAGACAUCAU
rnacentral:misc_RNA from 1 species